AAGAUUAUUCUUUCAGGGGUCACAUCUAAAGUUCAUUACUAGAGAAUUUUCUCUGAUCACAUAGAGCACCCCAAAACGACAAGGAGUCAGAGCAUCCUUCCUGGAACAGGACUGGAUCUAGGUGUUGAAACUGCAACUGCCUUUUACCACUGAUGAUCAUUCUUCUCUUCCUUUGCAAGAGGGAGAGGAUGCAGACUGAGUGGU